rnacentral:lncRNA from 1 species
CUAGAUUUUUUUAAUCUUAAUCUUCAAUGAAUUAUUACUAUUAAGAGAACUGAUCAAGUGCGUGGCUAUAUAUCAAACUCCGAAAUUUUUGGUAUUGUACGCAGUUAUGAUCUUAAUCUUUGGCUAAGGGUAUGAUUGGGAUUGCAUUAGCUUGCUAAAUAAUCCAUCCUCAUAUAAAUUCUCCAAUAAUUAACUUUGCAAAUAAUUUGAUGAGAUGUUUGGUAAAAUUGGAUUAUAAGGAAAUCAAUUAUUAAAUAAUUUACUUAACAUGUUUGUCGUAUUAAUCAAAAAAUUGUGUUGUGUGCAAAUUACCAAGAUGGACAAGUUUUCUUAUAUAGUAAUAUAUAAUGAUAAUUAUUACGAUUUAUU